AAGGCGGAAGUGUAAAAGCUGAUUUCAGCUUUUGUGAGGGGCCAAGUUGCAAUUGGGGCUGAGCUUAUCUUAACCCUAGGUAUAUGUACGUGGUUCUCAUGCAGUGAACCACCUCUCUCUCUCCUUCUUUUCCUUCUCUCUAGAAACCAUACGAGAUGGUUUUUGAAGGAAACUCAUGAGAGAUUUGGAGAUUUGCUGCUGCGAGGAAGAUCGCGAGCAGGGAAGCGUGGUGUACGCAGGUCCACACGUGAACAGCGCGACGACACGAGGAAAGGGAGUAGUUCGAUAGAUAGCGCCUUACCACAUGAGACCAAAGAUAGAAGUACUCCGAGUCAGCCUAGCUUAGAGGUGUAGAAAUGAGAGAAUGAAACAAUUUGUACUAAAGAUGGUUGUACUUGGAAGUUGAAUGUAAACUUAAUGUAAAUAUGAUGUAAAAUGA